UACGGAGGGUGCGAGCGUUGUCCGGAAUCACUGGGCGUAAAGGGCGCGUAGGCGGCAUGCCAAGCGUGUGGUGAAAGCCCGGGGCUCAACCCCGGGUCGGCCGUGCGGACUGGCGUGGCUCGAGCGACUGUGAGGGGCGGGUGGAAUUCCGGGUGUAGCGGUGGAAUGCGUAGAGAUCCGGAAGAACACCGACGGCGUAGGCAGCGCCCUGGCUGUGAAUAAAGCUGACACUGAGGCACGAAAGCUGGGGGAGCAAACAGG
rnacentral:rRNA from 1 species